rnacentral:lncRNA from 1 species
AAUUAUAGUUAACAAAAGGCACCAGGUUCAUAAUAGAGAUGGGCCAAUUUGUACAUAUACCAAGAGGAAACUUCGUUCAAAGCACCAUUAUGUAUUGUUUCAUUUCGUUUAAGGUUCAUGUGGACCCUAUGACUAAAAUGACAGCUCAAAAUUUACUCUGAGUACAGACAAACCUGCGCAUCUGGAAAUUUUUUUAUGUAUGGCAUGCCCC